rnacentral:lncRNA from 1 species
UCAUCUGCUCCAAGAAUAAGACAGCACAAAAGGCUGCCAGCAAGGUGACCCUUUUGGAAGCCAAUCGUGCCAAGAACCUGGCUAUCACCCUUCGCAAGGCUGGGCGCACAGCUGAGGAGAUCUGCAGGGCCAUCCACACGUUUGACUUACAGACACUACCUGUAGACUUCGUGGAAUGCCUGAUGCGCUUCCUGCCUACAGAGGCUGAGGUGAAACUGUUGCGGCAGUAUGAGCGAGAACGACAGCCCCUAGAGGAGCUGGCAGCUGAGGACCGCUUCAUGUUGCUCUUCAGCAAGGUGGAACGGUUGACCCAGCGAAUGGCUGGCAUGGCCUUUCUGGGCAACUUCCAGGACAAUCUGCAGAUGCUCACACCGCAACUGAAUGCCAUCAUUGCAGCCUCUGCCUCCGUCAAGUCCUCACAGAAACUGAAGCAGAUGCUGGAGAUCAUUCUUGCAUUGGGGAACUACAUGAACAGCAGCAAGCGAGGUGCUGUAUAUGGCUUCAAGCUCCAGAGCCUGGACCUGCUGUUAGACACCAAGUCCACUGACCGGAAAAUGACACUGCUGCACUUCAUCGCCUUGACGGUGAAGGAGAAAUACCCAGAGUUGGCUAACUUCUGGCAGGAGCUGCACUUUGUGGAGAAGGCUGCAGCAGUGUCCCUGGAGAACGUGCUGCUAGACGUCAAAGAGCUGGGCCGGGGAAUGGAGCUGAUUCGGCGGGAAUGCAGCAUUCAUGACAACAGCGUUCUGCGAAACUUCCUUAGUACCAAUGAAGGCAAACUGGACAAGCUCCAGCGUGAUGCCAAAACUGCUGAGG